rnacentral:rRNA from 1 species
UACGAAGGGGGCUAGCGUUGUUUCGGAAUUACUGGGCGUAAAGCGCACGUAGGCGGAUCAUUUAGUCAGGGGUGAAAUCCCGGGGCUCAACCUCGGAACUGCCUUUGAUACUGAUGGUCUCGAGUCCGAUAGAGGUGAGUGGAAUUCCUAGUGUAGAGGUGAAAUUCGUAGAUAUUAGGAAGAACACCAGUGGCGAAGGCGGCUCACUGGAUCGGUACUGACGCUGAGGUGCGAAAGCGUGGGGAGCAAACAGG